UGGGCUAUGAUAGCAUAAGGAACAUGUCCGAUGCUAAGGUUAUCUAGUCAAAUUAAAUUUUGAGUACCCUUUUUAAAGUUCUCAAAUAGAUUCCUGCAUUAAAGAAUAAAAAAAGUUAGUAUUACAUAAUUGCAUUGCCAGCCCCUCAGAAAAAUUAAAACGCAGACAAACACUAUGAAAAAUCCUUUUAAAGCUCUCAGAUUUAACUUGAGGUCAUUCCCUCCUCAUCUCUGCUCAGCCCUUUCCCAUGGUGAGGGAGUAUGUUUUUGCAAUACCUGAUCCAUUAACUACAUCCUUUAACUACAAUUUAUAAGCCACACAGUACAUAUGUGCUGUGUUGGUCAAUCAAUCAAUAAUAAUGAUGAUAAUAAAAAUGGUAAUGGUAUUUAUUGUUAUUGUUUGUAUGUAAUCUAACACAUAUUUAUACAUUUAUAGCAGGCAGCGGCUUAUUUACCAGAACCAGUGGGCCAACAUGCGUCUGGCCGCAUUUACAUUUUUAAUGUAUAUUGUUCAUUUUUUAAUUUUCAGAACAUGUCACAGCAGAAGACAACCUGGGUUGUUAAGAAGACCUUCACUGACUUUGUUCAAGGUCCCACGUAUCCUUCACCCCCGAAGAAAUUUCGGAAGGGGUCCGAAACAGUGGCCUCGAAGGCCUCUGGUCCAUCUCAUCAGCCACAAGGGGUAAACGUGGCUAAUUCCACCACCACUGGUCCUAAAGAUGCCCCAAUCAAGAACCCUACCAGAACCCUACCCCCGCGUGUUCCACGCCAAGAGCAACCAAACUCUCCUGAUUUGUUUGAACAACCGGAAACAUCAGUAGAUCUUUCGUGCAGAUAAAAUCGAUGUGUCACGUUGGGGGAAAGGACUUCAAGACCUGUGCACGCAGGAUCCUGGACAGCAAUGCCCUGCAGACACAGUACAAUCUAAUGGGUGGAGGACAUCAGGGAAAAAGGGCUAUAAAAAAAACCCCGCCUUCUUUUCCGUGGUUGUCGAGAGUGUUUGCAGUCGGUUUCCAAAUACCAUAGAAGAACAAGUUGGAGCAGCUCUCGGUGAUCACCAAAAACAGGCGCCAGCUCGAUGUGGUGGUGGGGGGAGGGGGGCUACAGGAAACACAGAACUUCCCACUGCUAAUUUUUUUUUUCAAAAAGCCCCAAAAAGUUCUUUAAAAAACAGUGUUUUUAUAAAACAAACGUCUUAAUUUUAAUUAUUUUUGUUU